AUGAACGCUGGCGGCGUGGAUAAGGCAUGCAAGUCGAGUGGGUUUAGACCCACGGCAGACGAGGUAGGAACACGUAGGUACGCACCCGGAAGUCGGGCAUAACUCCGCGAAAGCGGAGAUAACUCCCGAUAGUCCCUGAAGCGCAAGCUGAAGGGUAAAGAUUUAUCGCUUCCGGAGCGGCCUGCGGGCUAUCAGCUAGUUGGUGGGGUAAUGGCCCACCAAGGCGAUGACGGCUAGGGGGGCUGAGAGGCCGAUCCCCACCGAUGGAACUGAGACACGGUCCAUACACCUACGGGUGGCCGCAGUCGAGAAUCUUCCACAAUGGGCGAAAGCCUGAUGGAGCGACGCCGCGUGAUUGAUGAAGCACUUCGGUGUGUAAAGAUCUUUUAUGAGGGAGGAAGUUAUUGACUGUACCUCAUGAAUAAGGGGUUGCUAAACUCGU
rnacentral:rRNA from 1 species